rfam:Pseudomonas stutzeri A1501, complete genome.
UCAUGCCUCUUUAUUAAACACGGGGUCAAUCCCCGGCCUGUUCACUCAAGGAGCCCUACCAUGGCACUGAGCGUUGAAGAAAAAGCCCAGAUCGUUAACGAGUACAAGCAAGCUGAA